rnacentral:tRNA from 1 species
UCCUCCGUAGCUCAAUUGGCAGAGCAUCCGGCUGUUAACCGGAGGGUUACUGGUUCGAGUCCAGUCGGGGGAG